rnacentral:tRNA from 1 species
AGCCCCGUGGGGUAGCGGUCAAUCCUGUCAGACUCUGGAUCUGACGACUCCGGUUCGAAUCCGGACGGGGCUA